UACGGAGGGGGCUAGCGUUGUUCGGAAUUACUGGGCUUAAAGCGCACGUAGGCGGAUCUUUAAGUCAGUGGUGAAAUCCCAGAGCUCAACUCUGGAACUGCCUUUGAUACUGGGUAUCUCGAGUAUGGAAGAGGUGAGUGGAAUUCCGGGUGUAGAGGUGAAAUUCGUAGAUAUUCGGAGGAACACCAGUGGCGAAGGCGGCUCACUGGUCCAUUACUGACGCUGAGGUGCGAAAGCGUGGGGAGCAAACAGG
rnacentral:rRNA from 1 species